rnacentral:misc_RNA from 1 species
GGAUGAAGAACGUAGCGAAAUGCGAUACGUAAUGUGAAUUGCAGAAUUCAGUGAAUCAUCGAGUCUUUGAACGCACAUUGCGCCCCCUGGUAUUCCGGGGGGCAUGCCUGUCCGAGCGUCAUUUCUGCCCUCCAGCCCGGCUGGGUGUUGGGCGCUGUCCCCCCGGGGACACGCCCCAAAGGCAGUGGCGGCGCCGCGUCGGGUCCUCGAGCGUAUGGGGCUUUGUCACCCGCUCGGGACGGACUCGUCGGCGCUGGUCUUCCUCCAGGCGACCCUUCGGGGCUCGUCUUCCUUCGGUUGACCUCGGAUCAGGUAGGGUUACCCGCUGAACUUAAGCAUAUCAAUAAGCGGAGGA